CACAUUCCCCAUGUUCAUUGCUUGGUAAAAACAAUAGAUCUCAUCAGGAUUGUGUUUCAGCAGCAGGAUUGCUCCAGCCAGCAGGCUCUCAUCUGAGUUCCUAUGGCACACUUCUGGAUAGACUACAAGGAUUUAAAUUCACAUCGCGCCACUUUCUAGCAUGUGAUCUUAAAAAGAUGCAGAUGGAUGUCUUCCUGUUUUGGCCCACUCUACAUCAGCAGUCUUGCUGAAUAUGUGAAGUAGAGGUACAAGUGCAGGUUUAUUACCAAUAAUGAGUUCUGAAAUUGAGGCAGUAAUAAGUAGCCGACCAUACAAAAAUAGCCCAGGACCAGAUGAAUUCACAGCUAAAUUCUACCAGAUUUAUGAAGAAGUGCUGGUACAACUCCUACUGAAAUUAUUCCAGAGAAUUGAGGAGGAGAAACUCUUUCUUAACACAUUCUAUGAGGCAAGCAUCAUCCUGAUGCCAAAACGUGGCAGAGAUUCCACAACAACGUAAAAAACUUCAGGCCAAUAUCUUUGAUGAACAUCGAUGCAAAAAUCCUCAACAAAAUACUAGCAAACUGAAUCCAGCAGCACAUCAAAAAGCUUAUCCACUGUGAUCAAGUUGGUUUCAUACACAGGAUGCAAGGUUCGUUCAACAUACACAAAUCAAAUGUAAUUCAUCACAUAAACAGAACUAAGACAAA